GAUGAACGCUGGCGGCGUGCCUAAUACAUGCAAGUCGAGCGAACAGACGAGGAGCUUGCUCCUCUGACGUUAGCGGCGGACGGGUGAGUAACACGUGGAUAACCUACCUAUAAGACUGGGAUAACUUCGGGAAACCGGAGCUAAUACCGGAUAAUAUAUUGAACCGCAUGGUUCAAUAGUGAAAGACGGUUUUGCUGUCACUUAUAGAUGGAUCCGCGCCGCAUUAGCUAGUUGGUAAGGUAACGGCUUACCAAGGCAACGAUGCGUAGCCGACCUGAGAGGGUGACCGGCCAGAUUGGGACUGAGGUCCGGCCCAGACUCCGCCGGGAGGCAGCAGUGGGGAAUAUUGCACAAUGGGCGGAAGCCGGAUGAAGCAACGCCGCGUGCGGGAUGACGGCCUUCGGAUUGUAAACCGCUUUCGCCUGUGACGAAGCGUGAGUGACGGUGAUGGGUAAAGAAGCACCGGCUAGCUGCGUG
rnacentral:rRNA from 1 species